rnacentral:tRNA from 1 species
GAUCCUCUCGUAUAGUGGUUAGUACGCUAGAUUUUGAUAGCGUUACUUGCUUGGAAAUUUCUAGUAACGCAAGUUCGAACCUUGCGAGGAUCU